AGCCUGGAGGGAUUAAAAAGAAGCAGCUGAAUUGAAUUGCCCCUAUGAGUCUCCUCUGCCCCCCAACUCCCAGGAGAAAAAGCAUCUCAGAAGCUAGGGCACAAAAUCUAGAUCUCCAUUCAGUUUCUCCACCUCACCUCUGAAUAGAGAGCCAUCAACACAUAGAUCAUGUGCAGUAAAAUUGACAUCUGAGAGAAGAGCAAAAUACAGACAGCAUUCCUAAUCCCUUAGAAGCUUGUGAAAUUACUGUCUGAAACCUAUGAUGAGAAUGGGAUAAUUUGUGAAGCAGAUGAUAAGCAGCUCCUGCUCUUCAGGCCAAGAGGAUCCACUGUUCACAGGCUCAGAGGGUGCCGUUCUCCAGGUCCCGGAAUCGGAAAAUCAACCUGAUGUAACUUUUUUCUUUGAAAAGAGAGAAAGAUGAGAGUGAAUCAGUCCAGCUCUGUCUUCUUCUGGAUUUGGAAAAAGCCCUAGUUUGUGAAACUGAGAUUGGACAAGUAGUUAACUAAUGGAAUCAAUUAAUAAACAUGAUAGAAGUAAUUAUUUGAUGAUCCUCAUGUGAAAGUGUAUAUUUAAAACAUCAUCUCUUCUCUAAUAUUUUGUUUAUUUCUCUGGGAAUAUAACUUUAAUCAUAAAACUUCUUAUGAAAGGAAAUAGCUGUCUCUGAUGAAUUGGUGGACAUAUGAUAUACUGCAGUUUAUGUUAGCAUAAUAU